AUGGAAUCCAAGGGUGGUAAAAAGUCCAGCAGUAGUCGUUCCUCCCUCAUGUACGAAGCUCCCCUCGGCUACAGCAUCGAGGACGUCCGCCCUGCAGGAGGCAUUGAGAAGUUCCGCUCCGCUGCCUACUCAAACUGCUCCAGGAAGCCAUCCUGA
rnacentral:rRNA from 1 species